rnacentral:rRNA from 1 species
GAUUUUCGAAGGUAAAAUUCAACAACAUAGUGCUGAAGGCUAGUUUUUUUGCUUUUUGUUGUUAGUUUUAUAGCCUUCAGCACUAUGUUGUUGAAUUUUACCUUCGAAAAUCACUUAAAAUUGAGUAAUAAUUGGGUUUAAAAUUUAAAUUUGAGUAGAUAAGAAUUAGAUGUUUAUAUUCUGCUAAUUUCACUGGUGAAAAUGUAGCAAAUAGAAAUUAUUUUAAUCUAAUAAACUAGCAAAUAGUAUUUAAAACAAAAAUAUUUGUUUUUUAUGUUGUAAAAUGUUUUAAAUUAGAUAAAAUUUACAAAUUUACAAAUUUUCAAGCAAAAUAGGUUCUAAAAAAUGAGAAAAUAUUACAUAUUUUAGCUAUUUGACUACUUUAAUGCUAGUAAAUUAAAAUGAAUUUAAUUCAUUUUCACUUUAAAACACUUAUUUUAAUAAAAUAUAUGAUUUUAAAAUGAUAAAAUAUUUUUUAAGAGGUAAAUUUAAGAAAUUAGUUAAAUUUUAAAGAAAAAGCAUCUAAAAAUGGACAAAAAUGAAGUAUUUCCUUUUUUUAUACAUUUAAAUGCUAGAAAAUUUAAGUAAAACAUUUAUAAAUAAAAGUAAAAUAGUUUUAGGAAUAUGAGUAAAUAGUUUUUUUUAUGUAAAAAACAUUUUAUCAAUUUCAUUUAUUCAUUUUAGUUAAAUUUUUCAUUCACAAAAAACUUUUUUUUGGUAAAAUAAAGACUUUAUAAAGAUAACUUAAAGAAAAAGUUUAUCUAGA